AGAGUUUGAUUAUGGCUCAGAACGAACGCUGGCGGCAUGCCUAAGACAUGCAAGUCGAACGAAGUCUUCGGACUUAGUGGCGCACGGGUGAGUAACAUGUGGGAAUCUACCUAAAGGUUCGGAAUAACUGCGGGAAACUGUAGCUAAUACCGGAUGUGUCCGCAAGGAGAAAGAUUUAUUGCCUUUAGAUGAGCCCGCACUAGAUUAGUUUGUUGGUGAGGUAACUGCUCCACCAAGACUACGAUCUAUAGCUGAUUUGAGAGGAUGAUCAGCCACACUGGGACUGAGACACGGCCCAGACUCCUACGGGAGGCAGCAGUCGGGAAUAUUGGACAAUGGGGGAAACCCUGAUCCAGCAAUGCCGCGUGAGUGAAGAAGGCCUUCGGGUUGUAAAACUCUUUCAUCAAUGAUGAUAAUGACAUUAGUUGAAGAAGAAGCUCCGGCUAACUCCGUGCCAGCAGCCGCGGUAAUACGGAGGGGGCUAGCGUUGUUCGGAAUUACUGGGCGUAAAGCGUAUGUAGGCGGAUCGAAAAGUUAGAUGUGAAAUCCCUGAGCUUAACUCAGGAACUGCAUUUAAAACUAGAGAUCUAGAAUUUGGUAGAGGUUAGUAGAAUUUCCAGUGUAGAGGUGAAAUUCGUAGAUAUUGGAAAGAAUACCAGUGGCGAAGGCGACUGACUGGGCCAUUUUUGACGCUGAGAUACGAAAGCGUGGGUAGCAAACAGGAUUAGAUACCCUGGUAGUCCACGCAGUAAACGAUGAGUGCUAGUCGCUGGAUCAAUAGGUUCGGUGUCGAAGCUAACGCAUUAAGCACUCCGCCUGGGAAGUACGGUCGCAAGAUUAAAACUCAAAGGAAUUGACGGGGGCCCGCACAAGCGGUGGAGCAUGUGGUUUAAUUCGAAGCAACGCGCAGAACCUUACCAGCCCUUGACAUGGGGAUCGCGCUCCAGAGAUGGUGUUUUCUCUUCGGAGACCGGGUGACAGGUGCUGCAUGGCUGUCGUCAGCUCGUGUCGUGAGAUGUUGGGUUAAGUCCCGCAACGAGCGCAACCCUUGCCCUUAGUUGCCAGCAGGUAAAGCCGGGCACUCUAGGGGGACUGCCGGUGACAAGCCGGAGGAAGGUGGGGAUGACGUCAAGUCCUCAUGGCCUUUAUAUCCAGGGCUACACACGUGUUACAAUGGGGGUUACAAAGGGCAGCGAAACGGUGACGUGGAGCGAAUCCCAAAAAAGCCCUCUCAGUUCGGAUCGCAGUCUGCAACUCGACUGCGUGAAGCUGGAAUCGCUAGUAAUCGCGGAUCAGCACGCCGCGGUGAAUACGUUCCCGGGCCUUGUACACACCGCCCGUCACACCAUGGGAGUUGACAGGGGCAGAAGCCGCCGAGCCAACCUUCGGGAGGCAGGCGUCCAAGCUCCGGUUGAUGACUGGGGUGAAGUCGUAACAAGGUAG
rnacentral:rRNA from 1 species